rnacentral:rRNA from 1 species
GAUAAACGCUGGCGGCGUGCAUGAGACAUGCAAGUCGAACGAGUGACCCCGGGCUUGCCUGGAGUCGCUAGUGGCGAACGGCUGAGUAACGCGUGGGUGACCUGCCCUGAAGUGGGGAAUAACUGCCCGAAAGGGUGGCUAAUACCGCAUGUGGUGACACGUUCGUUCGUGCGACCAAAGCCGCAAGGCGCGUUCGGGGGCGGG